GACGAACGCUGGCGGCGUGCUUAACACAUGCAAGUCGAACGGAAAGGCCCUGCUUUUGUUGGUUGCUCGAGUGGCGAACGGGUGAGUAACACGUGAGUAACCUGCCCUUGACUUUGGGAUAACUUCAGGAAACUGGGUCUAAUACCGGAUAUGAGCUCCUGCUGCAUGGUGGGGGUUGGAAAGUUUCGGCGGUUGGGGAUGUACUCGCGGCUUAUCAGCUUGUUUGUGGGGUAGUGGCUUACCAAGGCUUUGACGGGUAGCCUGCCUGAGAGGGUGACCGGCCACAUUGGGACUGAGAUACGGCCCAGAAUCCUACGGGAGGCAGCAGUGGGGAAUAUUGCACAAUGGGCGGAAGCCUGAGGCAGAAACGCCGCGUGCGGGAUGACGGCCUUCGGGUUGUAAACCGAUUUCGCCUGUGACGAAGCGUGAGUGACGGUAAUGGGUAAAGAAGCAACGGCUAACUACGUG
rnacentral:rRNA from 1 species